CCUGGUUGAUCCUGCCAGUAGUCAUAUGCUUGUCUCAAAGAUUAAGCCAUGCAUGUCUAAGUAUAAACAAAUUUAUACUGUGAAACUGUGAAUGGCUCAUUAAAUCAGUUAUAGUUUAUUUGAUGAUAUUUUUCUACAUGGAUAACUGUGGUAAUUCUAGAGCUAAUACAUGCAAUCAAGCCCCGACUUCCGGAAGGGGUGUAUUUAUUAGAUAAAAAACCAAUGCGGUUCGCCACUCCAUUGGUGAUUCAUAAUAACUUCUUGAAUCACAUGGCCUUGCGCCAGCGAUGCUUCAUUCAAAUAUCUGCCCUAUCAACUUUCGAUGGUAGGAUAGAGGCCUACCAUAGUUUUGACGGGUAACGGGGAAUAAAGGUUCGAUUCCGGAGAGGGAGCCUGAGAAACGGCUACCACAUCUACGGAAGGCAGCAGGUGCACAAAUUACCCAAUCCCAACACGGGGAGGUAGUGACAAUAAAUAACAAUAUAGGGCCCUUUUGGGUCUUAUAAUUGGAAUGAGUACAAUUUAAAUCCGUUAAUGAGGAACAAUUGAAGGGCAAGUCUGGUGCUAGCAGCCACGGUAAUUCCAGCUCCAAUAGCGUAUAUUAAAGUUGUUGCAGUUAAAAAGCUUGUAGUUGAACUUCAGACCUAACCGGGCGGUCCGCCUAACGGCGUGUACUGUCUGGCCAGGCCUUACCUCUUGGUGAGCUGGCAUGCCCUUCACUGGGUGUGUCAGGGAACCAGGACCUUUACCUUGAGAAAAUUAGAGUGUUCAAAACAGGCUUACGCCGGAAUACAUUAGCAUGGAAUAAUAAAAUAGGACGUGCGGUUCUAUUUUGUUGGUUUCUAGAGUCGCCGUAAUGAUUAAUAGGGAUAGUUGGGGGCAUUUGUAUUGUGUUGCUAGAGGUGAAAUUCUUGGAUUUACACAAGACAAACUAUUGCGAAAGCAUUUGCCAAGGAUGUUUUCAUUAAUCAAGAACGAAGGUUAGGGGAUCGAAAACGAUCAGAUACCGUUGUAGUCUUAACAGUAAACUAUGCCGACUAGGGAUCGGACAACCUCAAUAUUAUGCAUCAUUCGGCACCUUACAAGAAAUCAAAGUCUUUGGGUUCUGGGGGGAGUAUGGUCACAAGGCUGAAACUUAAAGGAAUUGACAGAAGGGCACUACCAGGAGUGGAGCCUGUGGCUUAAUUUGACUCAACAUGGGGAAACUCACCAGGUCCAGACAUAACUAGGAUUGACAGAUUGAUAGCUCUUUCUUGAAUUUAUGGGUGGUGGUACAUGGCCGUUCUUAGUUGGUGGAGUGAUUUGUCUGGUUAAUUCCGAUAACAAACGAAACCUUAACCUGCUAAAUAGCCUGGCCGGCUCUUGCUGGUCACCGGCUUUUUAGAGGGACUGUCGGCAUCUAGCCGAUGGAAGUUUGAGGCAAUAACAGGUCUGUGAUGCCCUUAGAUGUUUUAGGCCACACGCGCGCUACACUGACAGAGCCAGCGAGUUUUUUUCCUUGGCCGGAAGGUCAUGGGUAAUCUUGUGAAACUCUGUCGUGCUGAGGAUAGAGCAUUGCAAUUAUUGCUCUUCAAUGAGGAAUUCCUGGUAAGCGUGAGUCAUCAGCUCGCGUUAAUUACGUCCCUGCCCUUUGUACACACCGCCUGUCGCUACUACCGAUUGAAUGGCUUAGUGAGACCUUCGGAUCGACUUUGGGGAGUUGGAAACGACAUCCCGUUGCUGAGAAGUUGGUCAAACUUGGUCAUUUAGAGAAAGUAAAAGUCGUAACAAGGUUUCUAUAGGUGAACCUGCAGAA
rnacentral:rRNA from 1 species